rnacentral:rRNA from 1 species
GCUUAACCGAAGAAGUGCAUCGGAAACUGGGUGACUUGAGUGCAGAAGAGGACAGUGGAACUCCAUGUGUAGCGGUGGAAUGCGUAGAUAUAUGGAAGAACGCCAGUGGCGAAGGCGGCUGUCUGGUCUGCAACUGACGCUGAGGCUCGAAAGCAUGGGUAGCGAACAGGAUUAGAUACCCUGGUAGUCCAUGCCGUAAACGAUGAGUGCUAGGUGUUGGAGGGUUUCCGCCCUUCAGUGCCGGAGCUAACGCAUUAAGCACUCCGCCUGGGGAGUACGACCGCAAGGUUGAAACUCAAAGGAAUUGACGGGGGCCCGCACAAGCGGUGGAGCAUGUGGUUUAAUUCGAAGCUACGCGAAGAACCUUACCAGGUCUUGACAUCUUGCGCUAACCUAAGAGAUUAGGCGUUCCCUUCGGGGACGCAAUGACAGGUGGUGCAUGGUCGUCGUCAGCUCGUGUCGUGAGAUGUUGGGUUAAGUCCCGCAACGAGCGCAACCCUUGUUACUAGUUGCCAGCAUUCAGUUGGGCACUCUAGUGAGACUGCCGGUGACAAACCGGAGGAAGGUGGGGAUGACGUCAGAUCAUCAUGCCCCUUAUGACCUGGGCUACACAUGUGCUACAAUGGUCGGUACAACG